rnacentral:lncRNA from 1 species
CCAAACCCUAUUCUCUCUUCUCUCUCUCCUCCCUCCCGACUUUCUCUUCUCUCUCUCUCUUCUCCACGCCGGAGCGCCGUCGUCCGGCCGUCGCUGGUCGAGCUACCACCCCCAAUCGACUUGUCUCUCUCUCCUCUCUCUACUGCUACCCAUCAACUUGCCAGGCAUCAUCUAUCCCGUCCGAUCGAAACAAGAACCCUAAAUCCCCAAAACCCAAAUUCCGGCCGAAUCUUUUCUUUUCCAGUGAGCUUGUGCUUCGUGAAGGUAUGCUCAUCACUUCCCUCUAGUUUUUCGGUCUUCCUUGAGCUUCGAUUUCCAAAUAUAGAGCCCUAAUCAGAUUUCCCCCUUUCUUUGUUUUCUGGGUUUGAAGUUCGGUCUCCAACAAGGGCUUUUGUUCUUGAAUUUCAGUGUGUCCGUCGAGCUCAGGCGAACCUAGUUGUGGUUGGUGGGAGCCCCGACGCACUUUGGAAGAAGUNNN